GUAACACAGUCCAAUAACACCAGCAUAAACACGUAACACAGUCCAAUAACACCAACAUAAACAUGUAACAGUCCAAUAACACCAGCAUAAACACGUAACACCACAGUCCAAUAACACCAGCAUAAACACGUAACACAGUCCAAUAACACCAGCAUAAACAUGUAACACAGUCCAAUAACACCAGCAUAAACAGGUAACACAGUCCAAUAACACCAGCAUAAACAUGUAACACAGUCCAAUAACACCAGCAUAAAGAAAAUAGCCCAUAAAGUACCCUCCUUCCAAACACAACCUUACUUGACUUCAGAAAUACACUCAUUAUGCCAGUAGGACAUGCUGAGAAUGAUAAACACAAUACCCACUGACACACACGAUGCAGGAAUGCACACACACACACACACACACACACACACACACAAACACACAAAAACUCCCACUAUCAAAACAGGUCUAUACACCCAAACACAUAGAUUGGUAACUAAGGACAGAAAAACCUAGGAGAAUAACAAUCCUGCCUAGAGGUCACUGAAUCAAAUAAAUUAAACACGUGUGCAUGGGGACGUCUCAGUCAUAUUUCUGUGUAAGGGAUCUUCUCAUAUUUCUGUGUAAGGGAUCUUCUCAUAUGUCUGUGUAAGGGAUCUUCUCAUAUGUCUGUGUAAGGGAUCUUCUCAUAUGUCUGUGUAAGGGAUCUUCUCAUAUGUCUGUGUAAGGGAUCUUCUCAUAUGUCUGUGUAAG
rnacentral:lncRNA from 1 species